AAAGCUGGUCAAUAUGUAUCUUCACUAAGACAAGUGCCAAAGGAGUACUCAUCAACUCUCUCCUGCCUGCAAGACCAGGUUCACUAUUAGUGUCUACCUGAAUGACAUUGUAUAGAUAUAUGACAUUACUUGUUAUUUACUAUAAUUUUUUUUCUAAAAACUCAGGCAACUCCAUCCAAGUUUCAAGAUAUUAAAGCAGUAAUAGAGCAGAACUUUGGCAAGGAAUUGUAUGACAUGUAAGUAUGUGAAUGUUUAUCCUUUUUGGAUUGGCUAUUUAUUACUGGUACCUGUGGCCGGAAUGGAUUUUUUGUAGUUUGGCUAUUGUGUCUGCACAUACUGGUAGUUCUGUAAUCCAUCUUGUACCUUUCAUUCAGCUGCUUGUGUUGAAUGUUCUUUCCAGCUUGUUCCUUGUGUACUUCCGCAAUUCCCUUCCGGCAUUCUUAAUGAAUCAUUUGCCUGUUUUUACAUUAAUUCAAAAUUCCGGGGUAGUAGAAAGAACUUUCUCAUCAUGUCUAUGCCAUUGACAUCUGUCAAGGACCUGGAAUCCCCGACUUGCCGGACCACGGCUACGUAGCUCGUAGCCG
rnacentral:lncRNA from 1 species